rnacentral:rRNA from 1 species
UACGAAGGGUGCAAGCGUUACUCGGAAUUACUGGGCGUAAAGCGUGCGUAGGCGGUUCGUUAAGUCUGACGUGAAAUCCCCGGGCUCAACCUGGGACGUGCGUUGGAAACUGGCGAUCUAGAGUACGGUAGAGGGUGGUGGAAUUCCCGGUGUAGCAGUGAAAUGCGUAGAGAUCGGGAGGAACACUCGUGGCGAGGGUGGCCACCGGGACCAGUACUGACGUUGAGGCACGAAAGCGUGGGGAGCAAACAGG